rnacentral:rRNA from 1 species
GGCGGGGGCUAACUGCAGUGGUGCGACGAACAGGGCUUGCCCUGGGGCAAAGCCGCGAACGGGUGAGUAACACGUGUGUAACCUGCCCCGAUGACCGGGACAACCCGAGGAAACUCGGGCUAAUACCGGAUGUGGCGCACAGGUGUAAGCCUGUUCGCUAAAGGAAGCUUCGGCCUCCGCAUUGGGAGGGGCUCGCGGCCCAUUAGCUUGUUGGUGGGGUAACGGCCUACCAAGGCAACGAUGGGUAGCUGGUCUGAGAGGACGAUCAGCCACACUGGGACUGAGACACGGCCCAGACUCCUACGGGAGGCAGCAGUGGGGAAUCUUGCGCAAUGCGCGAAAGCGUGACGCAGCAACGCCGCGUGGGGGAAGACGGCCUUCGGGUUGUAAACCCCUUUCAGGAGGGACGAAGGUUCACCGGUGAAUAGCCGUGUGGAUUGACGGUACCUCCAGAAGAAGCUCCGGCUAACUACGUGCCAGCAGCCGCGGUAAUACGUAGGGAGCAAGCGUUGUCCGGAAUCAUUGGGCGUAAAGCGCGCGUAGGCGGCCCUGUAAGUCCGUUGUGAAAGUCAAAGGCUCAACCUUUGAAAGCCGAUGGAUACUGCAGGGCUAGAGUCCGGAAGAGGCGAGUGGAAUUCCUGGUGUAGCGGUGGAAUGCGCAGAUAUCAGGAGGAACACCAAUAGCGAAGGCAGCUCGCUGGGACGGUACUGACGCUAAGGCGCGAAAGCGUGGGGAGCGAACAGGAUUAGAUACCCUGGUAGUCCACGCCGUANACGAUGGGCACUAGGUGUGGGAGGUGUCGACUCCUCCCGUGCCGUCGCUAACGCACUAAGUGCCCCGCCUGGGGA